CAUGGGCUCACCGGUGAUCAGACUGCCUGACCCUGGCUGCUGUCCUGCACCCCCCUCACCGGCUCCACCUCGGACCUCACCGCCAUGAUGUGUGUGAUGAUCCAGGCCCUGCGCUGGCCCUGCUGCCUCUGCCGGCUCAGGUCCUGCCCUGGGCAGCCAUGUUCUCCACUGACUCCCUUCCCUCAGGGUGCCCCCAGCCCUCGGUGCACCCCACAGUCAGCUCGGACCUUCCACUACCCUCCAGCACCGCGGCUCGGCACGGGUCCCAUGGGCUGACACUGCCCUGCCCCAGAGCCCCCAGCACUGACCCCUCAACCCGUCCUUGGCCUCUGUGUGACACUGACCCCCCCCCAGCCCAGCCUGCGGCUGCAUCCUGCCCAGAACAGCCCCACUGAGCCACCCCUGGACCUGCAGAUCCUGCACCUCCUGCUACCACCAGGCUGCUCCCCACAAGUGCUGCUGGAGAGCUAUGGGGCUGCCCUCUCUGACGGGUGUCCCCCUGCCCUGGGUUCGGUGCUGACACUCGGGGGUGCUGCUCCCUUCUGCUGGUGACCAUGAGGAGCACCCCGGGCCCUGGAGCUGUACCUGCCUGAUCCUGCGGCCAUCACUGGACGAUCCCGAUGCCAGUACCACAGGGACAGCCGGAUGGUCCCCAUGCCGGUACCACAGGGACAGCCGGAUGGUCCCCAUGCCGGUACCACAGGGACAGCCGGACGGUCCCGAUGCCGCUCCAGGCCCACAUGCUCAGGUACUCACCUUGGUCAGCUCACCAGCACCUUCCAUGAGACAAGCAUUCGGGGCUGGCACUGCUGGGCUGGGGCUGCCUGGCUCCAAGUGCUCUGUGCUCAGCUGAAGGAUGCCAGAGAUGACAACAGAAACUGGGAACCUGCUCCCACCUGGCAGUAAGGUAAAGACAGUGACAACCACCAGAGCAAGGCUCCCCUGGCAGCAUGGGCGACUGUACCAUGGCUGGAUGAUUUCCUGCUCUUGGGCAUUCUGAGUUCUCACUCUUAACCUCUGUAGCCUGAGGCAGAGGAGUGCUGUGUAUGGGGCCUGGGGGUUUGGUUCCUGCAGAGAACUGCUCUGAGCUUGUCCCUGGCCACUCAUCUUCCUCUGUACUACAGGUUCUGA
rnacentral:lncRNA from 1 species